rnacentral:rRNA from 1 species
UACGGGGGGAGCAAGCGUUGUUCGGAUUUACUGGGCGUAAAGCGCACGUAGGCGGAUUGUUAAGUCGGGGGUGAAAUCCUGGAGCUCAACUCCAGAACUGCCUUCGAUACUGGCGAUCUAGAGUCCGGGAGAGGUGAGUGGAACUGCGAGUGUAGAGGUGAAAUUCGUAGAUAUUCGCAAGAACACCAGUGGCGAAGGCGGCUCACUGGCCCGGUACUGACGCUGAGGUGCGAAAGCGUGGGGAGCAAACAGG